CCUACGGGGGGCAGCAGUGAGGAAUAUUGGUCAAUGGACGAGAGUCUGAACCAGCCAAGUAGCGUGAAGGAUGACUGCCCUAUGGGUUGUAAACUUCUUUUAUCUGGGAAUAAAAUGUUCCACGUGUGGGAUUUUGUAUGUACCAUAUGAAUAAGGAUCGGCUAACUCCGUGCCAGCAGCCGCGGUAAUACGGAGGAUCCGAGCGUUAUCCGGAUUUAUUGGGUUUAAAGGGAGCGUAGGUGGAUUGUUAAGUCAGUUGUGAAAGUUUGCGGCUCAACCGUAAAAUUGCAGUUGAAACUGGCAGUCUUGAGUACAGUAGAGGUGGGCGGAAUUCGUGGUGUAGCGGUGAAAUGCUUAGAUAUCACGAAGAACUCCGAUUGCGAAGGCAGUUCACUGGACUGCAACUGACACUGAGGCUCGAAAGUGUGGGUAUCAAACAGGAUUAGAUACCCUAGUAGUC
rnacentral:rRNA from 1 species